UCUUCCUCGUUGUGUCUGUCGUGGCGGUCUUCGAGGUGUUCACUGUCGUCGUCGUCCGUUGCCUCGAACCGUCCUUCCCCGUAUUCUGCUCUCCGCCUUCAUCGCAGGUUUCCUGUGUCACUGCUUGAUGAUCGUUGAUGACUCUGCUGACUGCUUGUUGCCUAAGUUGUACAUGCUGUGAAUUAAAUUGAAGAUUUUGUUGAAAAUGUUGUGCAACGUGCCUUAUUUAUUCCAUCGGUGAUCGGUGUGACAAAAUUGGACUAGUUGUGUAGGGUAUAGGGAUUAGGAAAGCCAACACUCUGUACGCAUUGCGGAUUGCGGAAGUGAUAGUUCGGAGCAUUCUUUUUCUUCACCGAGUUGCUCUGGUUAUAUAAAAAGUGACGAGGAGCGCGGAUUGUUGUGGUUUAUUUUGAAUUUGGGUAUAUAAAUGUUUUUUUUUUUGUUAAUAUGGGUAGAUAAAUGUUAGUUGGAGAUUUAUGAAGGGAGAGUCAGGUUCUGUAAUAUUAAUGUUAGUAGUUGGGUUAGGGUUGGUUAGUGUGUGGGUGUGGGUCGGGCUAUCCGGCCCAUACCAUG